CAAUGACCUGUCACGAUUCCUGUAA
rnacentral:piRNA from 1 species